GUAGGUGGCAAGCGUUGUCCGGAAUUAUUGGGCGUAAAGCGCGCGCAGGCGGUUCUUUAAGUCUGAUGUGAAAGCCCACGGCUCAACCGUGGAGGGUCAUUGGAAACUGGAGAACUUGAGUACAGAAGAGGAAAGCGGAAUUCCACGUGUAGCGGUGAAAUGCGUAGAGAUGUGGAGGAACACCAGUGGCGAAGGCGGCUUUCUGGUCUGUAACUGACGCUGAGGCGCGGAAGCGUGGGGAGCAAACAGGGAUUAGAUACCCUGGUAGUCCACGCCGUAAGCGAUGAGUGCUAAGUGUUAGGGGGGUUUUCCGCCCCCCUUAGUGCUGCAGCUAACGCAUUAAGCACUCCGCCUGGGAGUACGGCCGCAAGGCUG
rnacentral:rRNA from 1 species